rnacentral:rRNA from 1 species
CGUGUAGGCGGCCUUCUAAGUCCGAUGUGAAAGCCCGGGGCUCACCCCCGGAAGUGCAUUGGAUACUGGGAGGCUGGAGUACCGGAGAGGAGGGUGGAAUUCCUGGUGUAGCGGUGAAAUGCGUAGAUAUCAGGAGGAACACCUGUGGCGAAGGCGGCCCUCUGGACGGAUACUGACGCUGAGACGCGAAAGCGUGGGGAGCAAACAGGAUUAGAUACCCUGGUAGUCCACGCUGUAAACGAUGGGCACUAGGUGUUCGGGGUAUUGACCCCCCGAGUGCCGCAGCUAACGCAUUAAGUGCCCCGCCUGGGGACUACGGCCGCAAGGCUAAA